rnacentral:rRNA from 1 species
UCGGGGUACACGAGCGGCGAACGGGUGAGUAACACGUGGGUGACUGCCCUCAGCUCUGGGAUAAGCCUGGAAACCGGGUCUAAUACCGGGAUAUGACCACGGGAUGCAUGUUCUGUGGUGGAAAGUUUUUCGGCUGGGGAUGGGCCCGCGGCCUAUCAGCUUGUUGGUGGGGUGAUGGCCUACCAAGGCGGUGACGGGUAGCCGGCCUGAGAGGGCGACCGGCCACACUGGGACUGAGACACGGCCCAGACUCCUACGGGAGGCAGCAGUGGGGAAUAUUGCGCAAUGGGCGGAAGCCUGACGCAGCGACGCCGCGUGGGGGAUGACGGCCUUCGGGUUGUAAACCUCUUUCGCCAGGGACGAAGCUUUUGUGACGGUACCUGGAGAAGAAGCACCGGCCAACUACGUGCCAGCAGCCGCGGUAACACGUAGGGUGCGAGCGUUGUCCGGAAUUAUUGGGCGUAAAGAGCUCGUAGGCGGUGUGUCGCGUCGGCCGUGAAAACCUGGGGCUUAACUCUGGGCGUGCGGUCGAUACGGGCAUCACUAGAGUUCGGCAGGGGAGACUGGAAUUCCUGGUGUAGCGGUGAAAUGCGCAGAUAUCAGGAGGAACACCGGUGGCGAAGGCGGGUCUCUGGGCCGAUACUGACGCUGAGGAGCGAAAGCAUGGGGAGCGAACAGGAUUAGAUACCCUGGUAGUCCAUGCCGUAAACGUUGGGCGCUAGGUGUGGGGACCAUUCCACGGUUUCUGUGCCGCAGCUAACGCAUUAAGCGCCCCGCCUGGGGAGUACGGCCGCAAGGCUAAAACUCAAAGGAAUUGACGG